CUGUGCUUCACAGGCCUCGACAAAAUAAUCUUUUAAUUUCAGGUACUUAUCUGGAAUCGCUCGAAUCGCCGGAGUUUUGCCGUCGUCAACAACUGCCGUCCCCAACAAUCUUAAGUUCGAAAUGGUUAACACGAGGCAAACUUCUCGGAUCAUUGAUAAUCCAAGAAAUCCCAUGGAUUCAAAUACUGCUCUAGGGAAUGAGAUUCCUGCUAUGGAUAUCGAUGAGAAUCCUCAUACAGCGGAGGUUACGAACCCCGUUAAUC